rnacentral:rRNA from 1 species
CCUACGGGAGGCAGCAGUGAGGAAUAUUGGUCAAUGGGCGCGAGCCUGAACCAGCCAAGUCGCGUGAGGGAAGACGGUCCUAUGGAUUGUAAACCUCUUUUGUCGGGGAGCAAAAGACGCCACGCGUGGCGUUCCGAGAGUACCCGAAGAAAAAGCAUCGGCUAACUCCGUGCCAGCAGCCGCGGUAAUACGGAGGAUGCGAGGGUUAUCCGGUUUUAUGGGGUUUAAAGGGUGCUGAGGGGGACGGUAAAUUCAGCGGUAAAAUUGGCAGGCUAAACCGCUUCGAGCCGUUUAAACUGGUUUUCUUGAGUGAGGGAGAAGUAUGCGGAAUGCGUGGUGUAGCGGUGAAAUGCAUAGAUAUCACGCAGAACUCCGAUUGCGAAGGCAGCAUACCGGCGCUCAACUGACGCUCAUGCACGAAAGUGUGGGUAUCGAACAGGAUUAGAUACCCGGGUAGUC